rnacentral:rRNA from 1 species
UAGGGAAUCUUCCACAAUGGGCGAAAGCCUGAUGGAGCAACGCCGCGUGAGUGAUGAAGGCCUUUGGGUUGUAAAACUCUGUCUUCUGUGACGAACAAGCCUGUGAGUGGAAUGCUCAGGCCCUGACGGUAACAGAGGAGGAAGCCACGGCUAACUACGUGCCAGCAGCCGCGGUAAUACGUAGGUGGCAAGCGUUGUCCGGAAUCACUGGGCGUAAAGCGCGCGCAGGCGGCGAUCUACGUCUGGGGUGAAAGCCCGGAGCUCAACUCCGGGACUGCCUUGGAUACGGGAUCGCUUGAGAAUUGGAGAGGCAAGGGGAAUUCCACGUGUAGCGGUGAAAUGCGUAGAUAUGUGGAGGAACACCUGUGGCGAAGGCGCCUUGCUGGCCAAUUUCUGACGCUGAGGCGCGAAAGCGUGGGGAGCAAACA